rnacentral:rRNA from 1 species
GCGUAAGAGCUCGUAGGCGGUUUGUCGCGUCUGCCGUGAAAGUCCGGGGCUCAACUCCGGAUCUGCGGUGGGUACGGGCAGACUAGAGUGAUGUAGGGGAGACUGGAAUUCCUGGUGUAGCGGUGAAAUGCGCAGAUAUCAGGAGGAACACCGAUGGCGAAGGCAGGUCUCUGGGCAUUAACUGACGCUGAGGAGCGAAAGCAUGGGGAGCGAACAGGAUUAGAUACCCUGGUAGUCCAUGCCGUAAACGUUGGGCACUAGGUGUGGGGGACAUUCCACGUUUUCCGCGCCGUAGCUAACGCAUUAAGUGCCCCGCCUGGGGAGUACGGCCGCAAGGCUAAAACUCAAAGGAAUUGACGGGGGCCCGCACAAGCGGCGGAGCAUGCGGAUUAAUUCGAUGCAACGCGAAGAACCUUACCAAGGCUUGACAUGGACCGGACCGCCGCAGAAAUGUGGUUUCUCCUUUUGGGGCCGGUUCACAGGUGGUGCAUGGUUGUCGUCAGCUCGUGUCGUGAGAUGUUGGGUUAAGUCCCGCAACGAGCGCAACCCUCGUUCCAUGUUGCCAGCACGUGAUGGUGGGGACUCAUGGGAGACUGCCGGGGUCAACUCGGAGGAAGGUGGGGACGACGUCAAAUCAUCAUGCCCCUUAUGUCUUGGGCUUCACGCAUGCUACAAUGGCCGGUACAAAGGGUUGCGAUACUGUGAGGUGGAGCUAAUCCCAAAAAGCCGGUCUCAGUUCGGAUUGGGGUCUGCAACU